GACGAACGCUGGUGGCGUGCUUAACACAUGCAAGUCGAACGGAAAGGCCCUGCUUUUGUGGGGUGCUCGAGUGGCGAACGGGUGAGUAACACGUGAGUAACCUGCCCUUGACUUUGGGAUAACUUCAGGAAACUGGGGCUAAUACCGGAUAGGAGCUCCUGCUGCAUGGUGGGGGUUGGAAAGUUUCGGCGGUUGGGGAUGGACUCGCGGCUUAUCAGCUUGUUGGUGGGGUAGUGGCUUACCAAGGCUUUGACGGGUAGCCGGCCUGAGAGGGUGACCGGCCACAUUGGGACUGAGAUACGGCCCAGACUCCUACGGGAGGCAGCAGUGGGGAAUAUUGCACAAUGGGCGGAAGCCUGAUGCAGCAACGCCGCGUGCGGGAUGACGGCCUUCGGGUUGUAAACCGCUUUCGCCUGUGACGAAGCGUGAGUGACGAUAAUGGGUAAAGAAGCACCGGCUAACUACGUG
rnacentral:rRNA from 1 species